rnacentral:rRNA from 1 species
GAUGAACGCUAGCUACAGGCUUAACACAUGCAAGUCGAGGGACCGGCGCACGGGUGCGGAACACGUAUCCAACCUUCCCUUUCCUCGGGGAGAGCCUUUCGAAAGAAAGAUUAAUAACCGAUAUAAAGGAUGGGGGUGCGUUCCAUUAGGUUGUUGGUGAGGUAACGGCUCACCAAGCCUUCGAUGGAUAGGGGUGUUGGGAGGAGGGUCCCCCACAAUGGAACUGAGAAACGGUCCAAACUCGUACGGUGGGCAGCAGAAAGGAAUAUUGGUGAAUGGGCGCUAGCCUGAACCAGCCAAGUAGCGUGAAGGAGGAUGGCUUAUGGGUCUUAUACUUCUUUUAUAUAAGAAUAUGUAUUAUAUGAAUAAGGAUCGGCUAACUCCGUGCCAGCAGCCGCGGUAAUAC